ACGAACGCUGUCGGCGUGCGUAUUACACGCACAUCUAGAGCAGUCAGAGAGAGCUUGCUUUCUCUGUGUUAGCGGCGGACGGGUGAGUAACACGUGGGCAACCUGCCUGUAAGACUGGGAUAACUUCGGGAAACCGGAGCUAAUACCGGAUAAUGCUUUUGAACUCAUGUUCGAAAGCUGAAAGAUGGUUUCGGCUAUCACUUACAGAUGGGCCCGCGGCGCAUUAGCUAGUUGGUGAGGUAACGGCUCACCAAGGCGACGAUGCGUAGCCGACCUGAGAGGGUGAUCGGCCACACUGGGACUGAGACACGGCCCAGACUCCUACGGGAGGCAGCAGUAGGGAAUCUUCCGCAAUGGACGAAAGUCUGACGGAGCAACGCCGCGUGAGUGAUGAAGGUUUUCGGAUCGUAAAACUCUGUUGUUAGGGAAGAACAAGUACCGGAGUAACUGCCGGUACCUUGACGGUACCUAACCAGAAAGCCACGGCUAACUACGUGCCAGCAGCCGCGGUAAUACGUAGGUGGCAAGCGUUGUCCGGAAUUAUUGGGCGUAAAGCGCGCGCAGGCGGUUCCUUAAGUCUGAUGUGAAAGCCCACGGCUCAACCGUGGAGGGUCAUUGGAAACUGGGGAACUUGAGUGCAGAAGAGAAGAGCGGAAUUCCACGUGUAGCGGUGAAAUGCGUAGAGAUGUGGAGGAACACCAGUGGCGAAGGCGGCUCUUUGGUCUGUAACUGACGCUGAGGCGCGAAAGCGUGGGGAGCAAACAGGAUUAGAUACCCUGGUAGUUCACUCUGUAAACGAUGAGUGCUAAGUGUUAGAGGGUUUCCGUUAUAUAUUGCUGCAGCAUACGCAGUAAGCACUCC
rnacentral:rRNA from 2 species